CCAGCAGGCAAAGGUUGUUAUCCUUUAUGGACCAGCCCUCUGGGGAGCCACAGGGAACAGCUUGGAACAACAGGGAAUGCAUUUGGAAGUUGCCAAACUUUACUUACUGCCUCGCAGGGCUUUGGGAUUUGAUUCCCAGGAUUAUUGGCUCUCACCUGCGUGGGCAUCUGGAAGAUUUUGGACUAUCUGUUUUUUAGCCGAGGAGAAAACUCGAGGGACUUCCAGCCUGAGAAAUCCCAGCGAGUUCUGGGGAUUAGCACGUGGCCUUCCAGGCGGGGAUGUUGGAGGCAAAAUCCUUGGGAAAUGCCAGAGCUCUGCUAACAGCACUCCUGAAGAUGAAUGGGCUUCCUAAUCCUUCUUUUAUCUGGGAAGAGUUGGAGCGUAGUGAAUUGAAGGCCUGAAGAUUCCUCUCUGUGCACUCCCUGGCCUUGCUUGAGGUGCCGCUUAGCAUUCCGUGGGCAGGUUCCUGAGGCUUGGAAGUGCUGAUCUCCCUUUGCCGUGGCAGCUGUGGGAUGUGAGAUCUCCAGGGUGCAGCCAAGGCCCCUCAGGAGAGCCUGAGAUGGUGCCAGCGGCUUCUCUGGAGCUCUGGAUGUCACUGCCACCUUGUCUUGGUUUGGAAUGACAGGUGUCUGCUGAGGAAGGCAGGGGCCGCCCUUGAAAUGGAGAAUGUAAUCCCACUCCCUCCGAAUUAUUAUCAUUUUGAAAUUAAGGGGCUCUCAGGCAAAGAUAUGGGAACAGGGAUAACGGUUCCUUAGUAAGAAAGUAAAAAUAAUAAUGCAGUAGGACAAAAACACCACCACUGACAGAGUCAGGGAUACAGCCUGACCCCCGUUGGUCAGGGUGCUGGUCACAGUCCAGUCCAGCCCUCCUGCAGUGCCAGGUGUGGUUCUGCUGGAGCAGAGAUGAUCCUGUAGAAGCUCCAGUGGUGCUGAGAUGGCUCCGGGGUUCCUCUGGCAAUCCCGUGCACACAGGCUGUGCUGCUGUUCCCAGUCCCAGGUUUGAUCCAGGUGGGAAUGCCGGGCUCCUCCCCUGGGUGGAGCAUCUCCCAAGGGAUGAUGGAAUGGUCUCAGUGAGCCUGGAUGGCCCAUGAACAGCAGAUAUCCCUGCAGGGAGGAUGGGCCUGGGAGGGAUGAGAACACUGCCACAGCUGGUUUAACAGAUUCAAUAGAAUACAAACUGCUGGUUACAUCUUGCAUUGCAAGCCAGGACACACCUUGCCCACAACCAACGAGGGAAGAGCAGAACAAUCCACAGAAUACUCCCUGAAUGCUCCUUGCACUUUCUGCUGGUUGGUUGUUGUGCUCCCUGGGAUCUCUGUGCAUGGGCUGCUCCAGCCUCAGCGAUGAUCCCCAGUGCCCAGGGCAGGAGAUCUCCUGAGGGGCCGUGGUCGGCCCAGAAAUGGGAAAAUGUUCAAUCUGGGAAGAGGAGGACAGUGCUGGCAGCUUUUCAGGAUUUUAUGGCACAGCAGCAGGUCCUGCUUGGUCCCAAAAGGAGACAGAUCCCAAUUGUUUAGGUUGGCAAAGACCUUCAAAGAUCAUCAAACCAUGUUCCUAGGUGGGGUUUAAUGCUGAGGGUGUGGGAUGUCCCACAGGGAUCGGUGAGGGUUUGCCGUGGGAUGGGGUUGGAUCUCUGCACGCUGUGUGCCCUGGCAGACCUUCUCCCCCAAAAAACCAAAGGUGAUCUACAGGGUGCUGGACCUGGAUCAGCUGAGCCAGAGUAUUUGUUCCCCAAAAUCCUCUCUGGGUUCUCCUCUGCUUGUGUGGAGGUCCCUGAGGAGGUGGAAACUCUCCUGAGGGUCCUUUUCCUCUAGCAGUCACUCUCCAAGGUUAUUCCCCUGCUCCUGGAGACACUCCUCUGUUCUCUGGCCAUCUCCCUGCCCCCAAGGCUGGCCCUCCCAGCCCCCAGAUUUCUCCUCCAAAAGAAGCUCCAAAGCACUCCUAGACUUUUUUGAGGCCAGAGGCUCCUUUUCCACAUAUCCACACAGCUUUUCUCCUAUCCCAUCCAGUUCUGCCCUCCACGCUCCCAAACUUCCCUUGUGCUUUCCCCACCAGCCCCACAGGGAGUGUUGGAUUCUCCAGGAGCUGAAGCGGCACAGGAUGGAAUGUCCAUCUCCUGGUGGCACUUCCCAGCUUCCUGAGGGAGCCUGGGAGCAGGGAGGGAUCUCCCAAAGGCCCAGCAGUUCAAAGCUCGUGGAUUGUCCUCUUCCCUGCCACCAAUCCAUACAAACCUGGCCAUAUUUCAGCCUUCUGUGCCCACCUAAACUCUGUGGCUUUAUUUUCACCACAGGCUCUUUGUUCCUGGAUGCUCUGGAAAGGGAAUUAGUGCCUAAUCCUUCUAUAUGUGACUCCAUGCUUUGCAUAUCAUCCUUGUGUCCCUUGUCCCCGACAUCUUCCCUUUUGUGACGAGCUGAGCUCGUGUCUGAACUCUCUUCUCUGAUCCUAGAAGGUUUUUUCCUCCCAUCCUGGGAGAUUACAACUAAUUCGGUGCCCAGCCAUGCAUGCCAAAAUUUAAAUAAUAAAUCAUCUCUCCCUGCCAGCAAACACCCCUGGACACGAAGGCAAAGCCCCACUCCUUCCCGGGAAAAUGGGGCUCUGCCUCAGCCUGAAAUUUCUGGGAAUUGUGGAUUGGGGGUGCUUCCCACCUGCCUGCACAUCCCCCCGCCCUUCCCUGCCUGUCUUGGCUCUGCUCUGAAGGAAAUGAUUGUGUUGGGAUCCUCCAAAUGCCAGGGAAGGGAGCAGGGGAGCCCAGAGGAGCCAAUGUGGGGCAAGGAUUGGAGAGAAGACACGGCAAAAAAAAAUAAAAAUGAGAGCAGGGAACAAAAUGUGGGGUGCAGGAGGAUGAGAGUCGGGGUGUGACCCACGUGCCAGUGUGCUAAAUUCCCCUCUCCACCACCAUAAAAGGGUUUUAUCCUCUAACCAACACCGUGGUGAGAGGUUUAUUCAAGUAGAAAAUUUUUAAUUGCAUUCUCUUGUAGUCA